CCAAUUGGAUACUCUUGGGAGGUUACUCUCCCCAGGCUCUUGUCCGCAUGGUGUAGGAGAGAAGUGCCGGGCUCUGCCCUGUGAUGUACAGUCCCCUUCCACAGCACUGGAGGUGAAGCUGGGCUUUGUGUCUGUACCUGCAAAUUCCUACGACUUCUCAGAGUCUUGUAGGCAAUGACUGAGGCGACAAACCAUGAAGGAAACAAAC
ensembl:snoRNA SNORA73 Small nucleolar RNA SNORA73 family